rnacentral:rRNA from 1 species
UACGUAGGGUGCGAGCGUUGUCCGGAAUUACUGGGCGUAAAGAGCUCGUAGGUGGUUUGUCGCGUUGUUCGUGAAAUUCCCUGGCUUAACUGGGGGCGUGCGGCGAUACGGGCAGACUGGAGUACUGCAGGGGAGACUGGAAUUCCUGGUGUAGCGGUGGAAUGCGCAGAUAUCAGGAGGAACACCGGUGGCGAAGGCGGGUCUCUGGGCAGUAACUGACGCUGAGGAGCGAAAGCGUGGGGAGCAAACAGG